rnacentral:rRNA from 1 species
GGGGGGGGGGGGGGGGGGGGCGGGGGGGGGGGAGGGGGGGGGGUGAGGGGGGCGGGCUCCUGGAUUCAGCGGCGGGGGGGGGAGGAAUGCCUAGGAAUCUGCCUGGGAGUGGGGGAUAACGUCCGGAAACGGGCGCUAAUACCGCAUACGUCCUGAGGGAGAAAGUGGGGGAUCUUCGGACCUCACGCUAGCCGAUGAGCCUAGGUCGGAUUAGCUCGUUGGUGGGGUAAAGGCCUACCAAGGCGACGAUCCGUAACUGGUCUGAGAGGAUGAUCAGUCACACUGGAACUGAGACACGGUCCAGACUCCUACGGGAGGCAGCAGUGGGGAAUAUUGGACAAUGGGCGAAAGCCUGAUCCAGCCAUGCCGCGUGUGUGAAGAAGGUCUUCGGAUUGUAAAGCACUUUAAGUUGGGAGGAAGGGCAGUAAGUUAAUACCUUGCUGUUUUGACGUUACCAACAGAAUAAGCACCGGCUAACUUCGUG